rnacentral:rRNA from 1 species
UACAGAGGUCUCAACCGUUGUCCGGAUUCAUUGGGCGUAAAGGGUGCGUAGGCGGCGGGGUAAGUCAGGUGUGAAAUCUCGGGGCUCAACCCCGAAACUGCAUUUGAUACUGCCUUGCUCGAGUACUGGAGAGGAGACUGGAAUUUACGGUGUAGCAGUGAAAUGCGUAGAUAUCGUAAGGAAGACCAGUGGCGAAGGUGAGUCUCUGGACAGUUACUGACGCUGAGGCACGAAGGCCAGGGGAGCAAACGGG